GACGAACGCUGGCGGCGUGCUUAACACAUGCAAGUCGAACGGAAAGGCCCUGCUUUUGUGGGGUGCUCGAGUGGCGAACGGGUGAGUAACACGUGAGUAACCUGCCCUUGACUUUGGGAUAACUUCAGGAAACUGGGGCUAAUACCGGAUAGGAGCUCCUGCUGCAUGGUGGGGGUUGGAAAGUUUCGGCGGAGGGGGAUGGAUUCGCGGCUUAUCAGCUUGUUGGGGGGGUAGUGGCUUACCAAGGCUUUGACGGGUAGCCGGCCUGGGAGGGUGACCGGCCACAUUGGGACUAAGAGACGGCCCAGACUGCUACGGGAGGCAGUAGUGGGGAACCUUGCACAAUGGGGGGACGCCUGAUGCAGCAGCGCUGCGAGCGGGAUGACGGCCUUCGGGUUGUAAACCGCUUUCGCCUGUGACGAAGCGUGAGUGACGGUAAUGGGUAAAGAAGCACCGGCUAACUACGUG
rnacentral:rRNA from 1 species